GCCGCGGGGCAUUGUGGGGCGGUGGAGGACCCGGUGCCCGCGGUGCGGCCCCGCGGCAGCGCCCGCCCCCCUCGGCCCUUCCGGCUGCGGCGGCCCGGCCCGGUCCCGCUGUAGGCCGCGGCCGUUCUCAGCCCGGAGGCGGAGGCUGCGAGACGCCCAGCAGAUGAGCGUUGCUCCUUGUUCCUGCUCUGCGGUGGUGGAGGUGCAGCCAUUCCUCUGCAGCUGAGAGCCGUCCUACACAGACACCAGGACGUCAGAAUCGGAGUCACAGCGCGCUGCUGUGAGUCUCAGAGGCAGGAAGACUCGAGUUCCCCUAUCCAGCGCUUCACACGAGGCACUGAGCUGUUCUUCAUGUCCUCGGGCUGCGAGCGCGAGAUGGAUGCUGCGCGCUGGGAGGUGCUCGAGUCACCUCAGGCUGCUUUGAAUACAGGGUGCUGCGUGCUACGGGCUGCUGCUUUGGUUACCGUCCCCUGAGCACAGUCACAAUUUAAAGGCCAAAAGAUGCUGUAGAAGUUUCCACCACUUGCCAAAAAGGAAAAGAAAAAAAAAAGUAACAACAUGUACAUCCAUCCUCUGGA